rnacentral:rRNA from 1 species
ACGCACGCUGGCGGCAUGCCUAACACAUGCAAGUCGAACGAGACCUUCGGGUCUAGUGGCGCACGGGUGCGUAACGCGUGGGAACCUGCCCUUAGGUUCGGAAUAACUCCCCGAAAGGGGUGCUAAUACCGGAUAAUGUCUUCGGACCAAAGAUUUAUCGCCUUUGGAUGGGCCCGCGUUGGAUUAGCUAGUUGGUAGGGUAAAAGCCUACCAAGGCGACGAUCCAUAGCUGGUCUGAGAGGAUGAUCAGCCACACUGGGACUGAGACACGGCCCAGACUCCUACGGGAGGCAGCAGUGGGGAAUAUUGGACAAUGGGUGAAAGCCUGAUCCAGCAAUGCCGCGUGAGUGAUGAAGGCCUUAGGGUUGUAAAGCUCUUUUACCCGGGAUGAUAAUGACAGUACCGGGAGAAUAAGCUCCGGCUAACUCCGUG